UCCCUAGUGGCUUAGAUGGUAAAGAAUCCACCUGCAGUGUGGGAGACCUUGGUUCGAUCCCUGGGUUGGGAA
rfam:Ovis aries breed Texel chromosome 10, whole genome shotgun sequence.